rnacentral:rRNA from 1 species
GUAACAUGUGGGAAUCUGCCUUGUGGUUCAGGACAACAUUGGGAAACCGAUGCUAAUACUGGAUAAGCCCUUACGGGGAAAGUUUUAAUGCCAUAAGAUGAGCCCGCAUUUGAUUAGUUAGUUGGUGAGGUAAUGGCUCACCAAGACAAUGAUCAAUAGCUGAUCUGAGAGGAUGAUCAGCCACACUGGGACUGAGACACGGCCCAGACUCCUACGGGAGGCAGCAGUGGGGAAUCUUGCACAAUGGAGGAAACUCUGAUGCAGCGAUGCCGCGUGAGUGAAGAAGGCCUUUGGGUUGUAAAGCUCUUUUGUAGGGGAAGAUAAUGACUGUACCCUAAGAAUAAGGUCCGGCUAACUUCGUGCCAGCAGCCGCGGUAAUACGAAGGGACCUAGCGUAGUUCAGAAUUACUGGGCGUAAAGCGCGCGUAGGCCGUUGAGUUAGUUAAUUGUGAAAUCCCAAAGCUUAACUUUGGAACUGCAAUUAAAACUGCUCGACUAGAGUUUGAUAGAGGAAAGCGGAAUACAUAGUGUAGAGGUGAAAUUCGUAGAUAUUAUGUAGAACACCAGUUGCGAAGGCGGCUUUCUGGAUCAACACUGACGCUGAGGCG